rnacentral:rRNA from 1 species
AUUGAACGCUGGCGGCAGGCUUAACACAUGCAAGUCGAACGGAGUGGCGGACGGGUGAGUAAUGCUUGGGAAUCUAGCUUAUGGAGGGGGAUAACUACGCGAAAGCGUAGCUAAUACCGCAUACUAUUGGAGCGGCCGAUAUCGGAUUAGCUAGUUGGUGGGGUAACGGCUCACCAAGGCGACGAUCCGUAGCUGGUUUGAGAGGACGACCAGCCACACUGGGACUGAGACACGGCCCAGACUCCUACGGGAGGCAGCAGUGGGGAAUUUUGGACAAUGGGGGAAACCCUGAUCCAGCCAUCCCGCGUGUGCGAUGAAGGCCUUCGGGUUGUAAAGCACUUUUGGCAGGAAAGCGGUACCUGCAGAAUAAGCACCGGCUAACUACGUGCCAGCAGCCGCGGUAAUAC